AGGGAUAUAGCUCAGUGGUGGAUCCCAUGCUUGGCAUGCACGAGGUCCUGGGUUCUAUCCCCAGUACCUCCA
rnacentral:tRNA from 1 species